CCUAGCACAGAGAAGUAAAGUAAUUUGCCCAGCAUCAUCAAUCAGUGAGUCAGGGGCAGAACUGGGAACAGAUGUUCUGAUUCCUGGUGUUAUGAUCUGCUGAACCACACUGCCUCUUCAAGACCUGCUCAAAUUGGUGGCUCUGCUGGGACAGCUACUCAAGGAGUUGCGGGGGUCGUGCCUGCAGACGGGCAGCGCACGGAGAGCCCCUUCCCCCCAGGAGCUGCUGCCAAACAUUCUGGCUGCUUCCAGGAGUGGCAUGGAGCCAGGGCAGACAGGGAGCCUGCCUUAGCCCUGCAGCAUCACUGCCUGAGAGCAUGCCUUCUCCUGGGAUAAGCCACAAAGGGUAGACUGGAAUCCGUGAAAGCACAAACAGAAGUCCAGAUCCCGUGAUCCCAUUGACCAGGCAAGAGAAGGAAGGGUGUCCUCAUCGCCUCACCAGCUCCAUGAGUUACCGGGAGAAUGAAGAGGCAUCUGGGGCCAGGCUUAUGCAUUGUAUCCUGUGACCU